AUGUCCAUGUCCGGAGAAGGUUUUAGUCUAGAAACGUUGUUGUUUUCCUUUCUUCAUCCUUACGUGUAUAUCCCAGCUGCCGCCCUCAUUGUUGGAUACUCCGCAAUCCGGACACCAAGAAUCAUGUCCAGAAGAAAAUCUGAGAAACUGUCCAACGGUGAUGUUGAAGUAGCAGAGAAUCACACCGAAGAGGAAGUUGACCAAAAUGAUGACCAGUCGGAGGACAAGCCAAGAGCUUCAAAGCGUGCCAAAAAAGAAGCCAAGAAAGAUAAAAAAGAGGCUAAGAAGAGUCCUCGUAAGAGUAGUGCCUCAAAAUCCCUCAAAGAAGACGAUGAAGAAAGCGAUACAGAAUAUGAGGUCGCCAAAAUUGUUGAUGUAAAAAACUGUGAAAGGAAAACGACAAUUCUUGGUCAACUGGAAAGGGUACACCAGCAAAGAUAA
rnacentral:lncRNA from 1 species